GACAGAGGGUGCAAACGUUGUUCGGAAUUACUGGGCGUAAAGCGCGUGUAGGCGGCCAUCUAAGUCGGGCGUGAAAUCCCACGGCUCAACCGUGGAAGUGCACUCGAAACUGGAUGGCUAGAGUCCUGGAGAGGAAGGUGGAAUGCUUGGUGUAGAGGUGAAAUUCGUAGAUAUCAAGCGGAACACCGGUGGCGAAGGCGGCCUUCUGGACAGUGACUGACGCUGAGACGCGAAAAGCGUGGGGAGCCAAACAGGG
rnacentral:rRNA from 1 species